GUUUGAGAGAAAAUCAAGCUUCUUGUUUGCUUUGUGCUCUCGAUUUCUUCUUGUUCUUCUCUAACCUUUGUGGCUGCAAACACCAUCCCCUUUCUGUCCUAAGUGAGUACAAAUCUUGAGCAACCGGAGUGUGGGAAGAGUUUAAAGGUUUUGGUCGUGAUUACUUAGGUGUAUUGAUAAGGUUGAGAUUGGUAUCCUGAGCCUGAAAUUCCAUCAAUUGGAGGUCGAUUAUUCAACAUUUGGUAUCAGAGCGAGGUUGGGGUGGAAUUUCUGAUCAAAAUCUGACCAGAAUCGAAGCAGAAACCAAUUGGAUUAAACUAUCUAGAAUUUUUUACAAAAAAAUCAGACUUGCAACCUCAAUUUUUCGGCUAAUCCAGACGUCUUUUGAUAAAACGGAGGUCGGAUUUGUGAUCUGCAGGUGGAGGAGGUGCUGGGUGGUCGGUGUGUGUGUGUAUGUGUGUGUGACGGCGGUAGCGCGUGGGGGCACGUGUGUGAUCCUCCAGUGAAUACUUCUUUAGAGAUAAUUUUUCUAACGUGUUUUCUAACGAUUUUGUGUUGUUAGUUUUCAGUUUCAGGAUAUACAAAAAAAAGUUGAAUGAUUUUACCCCUGGACACUUGGCUAUUGGUUGUUGGACAUUCGUAUUGGCACAUUUGCUGAACUUUAGGGCGAAUAGUGGUGGCCCUAAAGCAGCAGACUUGCAUCUCUCGUAAUUUAUGGACUCAGAUAGGUCCGCUCUGAUAAAUUGACUAAAACCCUUACAUUAUAGCACGAGCAGAUCAUCAUGUGGGUGAUCAUUAGGAUUGAGGGUUGUCAUUGUUUGGCAACAAUCAUUACUUGUGCUAGAAAAUUUAGAAAUUAUCUGUACUAUUUGAAGUGUUGAAGUUGAUUGUAAGUUGGUAAUUAAUUUUGUGCUGUAACCGUCAUAUAGUUACUAUGUGAGACCGUAUUGCGUAAGAAUUUGAUUUUUUUGUUAACAUGUGUUGCAUUGAUUAUCCUAUUAGAACACCUCGACUUGACCAGUUCGAAAAUUUCCUAGAUCUAAGAUCUCGAAUCUUACGAAAACUUAGGAAUCUAGA
rnacentral:lncRNA from 1 species